ACCCCCCCCUUUCUCUUUCUCUCCUCAGGAUCCAGCCAUGAGCGGCCGGCAGUGGGUCUACCCUCGGGGGGGCACCGGUGUGGGGGCGCCCCUCCUGGCCCUCGUGCUGACCAUGGCCGCCCUGCCUGCACGAGCCUUCAACAUGGAGACCUGCGACGGGAAGCCUCACCAGGUCACGAUCAACACACAGGCGGACGCUUACCUCGGCGUGGUGGUCGGGGCAUCGCGGGCGGGCGAGGGCAUGUUCGGGUGCGGCGGGUGGCGUGCGGGCGGCGUGGAGUCCUUCGAGGCUCUGCGCUGGUCGCUGGCCAGGAUCAACCAGGACUUGGGCGGCAUCGGAUCCAGGAUCGUGACGGACUCCUUCGUGCCGGGAGUCAAGUUCGGCCUCCACGUCUACGACUCCUGCGAGCACGGGGAGCGAGCAGCUGCGGGCGUGGGCGAGGUGUUCCCCGUGGUGCGGGAGGGCCCUUCGUCCUGCUCGCCCCUCAGCAACGACACCCUCCUGGCCCUGGGCGUGCUGGACCUCACGGGCGUCACCUCCACCCAUCAGAGUCUCUCGCGCCUCCUUCAGAAGUACCACGUGCCGGUCGUCGAGGCGCCCGCCCACACUUUCAUCCCUGAGAAGGAACGAGGACAGGCCCUUCUGGAAUUCCUCGCCGAGCUCAAGUGGGACUCGAGCGCUCUCCUCGUCCUCGAUGAAGAUUACAGCAUCGAGGUCGCCAAGGUGGUGACCGAAGGAGCAGCGAAUUUCAACGUUUGCAUCAGCAAUGUGGUUAGAGUGCCUAUGUUGCCGCCAUACCCCGAGGACACGGACCAACAUGGCGCACAGAGCAACACGCAAUACCGGGACUUGGUGCGGACGGCUGCUAGCGGCGGCCGGGUGAGCGGGGUCAUCGUGGUUGCCAGCGGCCUUCCUCUCACCCAGAUUCUGGCUGCUAUUCGAGCCGAGACCGCCGCCAGCCGGAGAGUUUACUGGGUGCUCUCUGACCUUCCUGACGUGGAGGUUGACCUGGUCCGCCACGCUGCCAGGAUUGCGAGGGGCGUGUGGGUAGUGGGCCACUCCCCCCACGCUCUUGAGAGCUUCGAGGACCACUGGAGGCUCUUGCAGGACGUCAAGAUCACGCCGACCCCGGAGAACGAAUGGGUGCUGGGUUACUUCCAGCAGUCCAAGAGAUGCCAGCUGCCGGGUCUGCCCAAGAGCGUCCCCGAGCCACUGGACGCCGACAAGGAAGCCGACGAACCGCCGAAGGAACUGCCGCCGUGUCUGUCGUUCCGGAUGAGGGACGACGACCUGGACGUGCUGGCCCGGACGCGCGCGGUCGUGCCGGCCAUCCACGGACUCUUCACCUUCUUCACCGCCAUGAAAAACGCGUGGAAGCUCAAGUGCAGAAACAGGCGCGGCGCGUGCCAAGAACUCCAAGAUUUGGAAAGAGAGGAACUUCAAGCGGACUUCCUCUCCCCUUUGAGGUUCCUCCACCAGGGCCCAGGCUCCCGCAGUCACGCAGGUCUCAAGGGCGGCAAGAAACGCACGGACCAACCAGGGAAGCUCUCGGGAACGUCCAUAGGCCUAUACCGUGUUCUUGCCAUUCCGGGAAAUUCUACCGUUACUGUUCACCAGACCCUCGUGAUGGACAACUCCACCCUACGAGUCACAGGCGAGUCGUACAUCCCCAAAACGGGUGGAUGUUUUCAGGGGGACUGUAACUCGUGCUUAGACGUACCGGAAAACCUCAUGCAGGUGACUCCUGGGCAGCCGGUGAACACGACGACAAUAGUGCCGAAAGUGGAAGCCGAAGAUCACGUGUUGUUACCGUCCUCCGACCACGUGGUUAUUGCGGCACUCUUCCCCGUCCACCAACCUUCGCCGGACGGAUCGGACUGCGGGGACACCAUCAACGAGGAGAUCCUUCAGGAGGUGGAAGCCUUCCUGUGGGCGGUGGACCAGAUCAACCAGCACCAGAAACUGCUUCCUUCCACCACCCUCGGCGCCCUCGUUCUCGACACCUGCGGCUCUAGGAUCCGCACCAUGAACCAAGUCACAAGCUUGGUCAAGGGAACUCUUCCAGGCAUUGACGUCAAUAUCAACAACAUCCAGAUGUUCGUGACCUCUCUUGACCCCGAGACGGCAAGGGUUACCGGGGAGAUACUCUCAUCCCUCAACGUGACCUCUGUCAACAUGGGUCCUUCGCAGGCGCACUCUCCCUACGCCCUCCAGAUGAGUCCUCCCAUCAACAAGGAGGCUGAGGCUAUGGUGCAGAUGCUGAGGUUCCUGGGAUGGGAUUACGUGUCCUUGGUGGUGUCGUCGGAGGACCCCGAGAACAUGGCGGGCGCAGAGGCCUUCCGGACGGUGGCAAGGGCGUCCCGGGUCUGCCUCGCGCUCGACCUUAAGAUGGUCCCUCUCGAGGCCGAGGGAUCUGCUACGCUUGCUAACCAGAUCGUCGAGCAACUAACGGAGAAGGCGGUCGUGGGCGCAAGAGGCGUGGUUCUCUUUCUGACCCUCGAGGACACGAAGGCGCUGCUACAGGCUGUCCAGAAAGCGGUGUCUCUCCACAGGCUCCACAAACACCAGAUCGUGUUCUUGGGCACAACCACUUGGGGAGAUCACAAAGACCAGUUGCGCGAAGUGGACGCCGAGAUAGGGGGCGUGCUUGCGUUGAAGGACGGCCAGCAAGAUGUGCGUGACUUCAUCGCUCACUACCGUCUCUUGGACCCGGAGAAGAACACCCGUAACCCUUGGUUCAAGCAGUACUGGGAACAAGAAUUUGGGUGUGUGGGCAUAGCCUGCUUGCUUGAGGGCAAACCGACGCCCGUGGUGCCCUACGCCUCCGUUCCCUCGACGCCCAGAGUCAUCCAGGCUGUAUUUUCCUUCGGCGCCGCCCUCACGCAGCUCUUGGGCCACUUGUGUCCUCACGCCGGAGGGAAGAUCUGUCCAGGGUUGCCCAAGUGGCGCCAGAGGACAGUUCUGAAUGAGUUUCUGCGGAACACCGAGGUCUCCCGCGUCGACAAGCCCUCCGAGUAUUUCCAGUUUACGGAGAACUUCCACGGCAACGCCCCCCUCGAGGUGUUCAAUCUGCGUCGCGCCCCGCCGUCCUCUGUCCAAAAGUACAAAUACGAGAAGGUGGGUCGCUACGUGGACGGUUCCCUGACACUCGGCAACGCCAUGGCGGAGUUCCACAACGGCACGGUGACGGUGAUGGAGCGUCUGACCUCGUCCUGCACCUCGAACUGCGCGUCCUGCCACUCCCCCGAGGCCGACCACGUCUUCAUCGAGUCGCCGGAUCAGCUGUACAUCCUGGCCACCUUCAACGUGCACGAGAGAGGAGACAAGCCCCUCGAGUGCGGCCCGCUUAGGGGGGAUAGGGGCAUUCAGAGCGUCGAGGCGCUGCUUUGGUCUCUGGAGCGCGUGAACUCUGACCCCGACAUCCUACCUGGGAUGAAGUUGGGUGCCAUCGUGCUGGACGCCUGUAGCAGCAAGGAAAAGGCAGUGCGUGACGUCACAAACUUCCUUACGGGAAAUAUACCUGACAGGAUGAGGGAGAAGGUUCCCUCCGCGAGCAACAUCGUAGGCAUGAUCGCUGGCGGGAUAGGCGAGGAGGUACGACAGGUGAUCGACGUGACGCAGCCUUACGGAAUCACGACCGUCGCCACGCAGGCCACGAGCACCGCCUUUUCAAACACCCGCCGUUUUCCCGCGCUCCUCCGCCUGGCGCCACCCAAUGACGUCACCGGAAGUGCCAUUGCAUCUCUCCUUCUGUACUGGCGAUGGGAGGUGUUCAGCGUGGUGUAUUCUGACGGAGGCGCCCCUGGGGAUGUGCAGAAACACCUUCUAAGGGAAACCGCAGCACACAAUCUCAAAGCCGCCAUGACCGAACCCAUCCCGCUCAAGGUGGACCAGGUGGAGUACAUGCUGGGCGUGUGGAGCCGACUGGCGGAGGCGGCGCAGCAGGGGGCGCGGGCGGUGGUGCUGCUGCUGGAGCCCCACCACGCGGCGCUGUUCCUCCGGGCGGCGGCCGGCCUGCUGGAGGAGGGGCUGCUGAGGCCCGGGGACUUCGUGUUCCUGAUGGAGGACUCGCCGCUGCCCUACAUCAAACACGAGACUGAGGCUCUGGGCAUGAUCGUGCUUCAGCCCAUCAGCGGCAGCGUCCCCGCCUUCUCCAACUACUUCCGGACUCUCUCGCUGGCGAACCACACGGCCUACCCGUGGUUCCAUGAGUUCUGGGCGGAGAUAUACCGUUGUCGCGGCGCCGGGUGCUUCACGGGGGCGGCGCGGGACCUCUCGGGGCACCGCUUCCAGCAGGCGGAGGACGUGGUCAGCACCGCCAACGCCGUCAACCUCCUCGCCAAGGGCCUCGACCGAUGGCGCCGCGAGGCUUGUCCGGACAAGGAGAACGGCACCUGCUCAGAGUUGAUCGCGGACGACCACUACCGCAACAAGAUGUUCCAAUCCACACGUUCGAUCACCCAGCGUGGAGUGGACGGCAGGGCGGUUGCCUUCACCGUGGACGGGCACAACAGGGCCGCCAUGAUACAGGUCCUAAACUUCCGUCGGGUUAGCGGGCGUCGUGGCGCCGGUCUCCUGCGAGUGGGAAUGUACAACGAGGAAGAUGGCUUGGCACUCAAUGGCACCCUCGUCGUGACCUACGAUGCCCAGGGUAAUGAGAGGUCCAUGUCCGAGGUCAAGUCUCAGUGCAUCGACCUUGAAGCAUGUGGAGGCGUUGUUGCAGUUGCCAAGCCAGCCAAGAAGAGGACGCAUCACCUGCAGAUGUAUCCACAGCAACGCUUCGGCAUCAGCGGCCUGGUGCCCUACCACCACCAGGGCCAGACGUUCUUCUCGUGUGGCGAGUUCUUCAGUGAAGGAAUUUUCCAGAACGUGGCAGCGGUGGCUUAUGCCCUCAGCCAGAUUAACAGGAACGAAGUGGGCGUUGGUUUGGGAGCAAUUCUCUUCGACUACUGCGACAGGAUCGAGCGGGCGAGGGAGAGGUUCUACAGCUUCUUCUCCGGCGAGGCCCUGGAGAGCGACGACUCGAUCGUCCUAACGCCCAAUCGCAUCGUGGCCUCCAUUACCUUCGACGACGACGCCGCGGAGGCCGUGUCCAACAUCCUCUCCUCCAACUACAUCCCGCACUUCAGCUCCCCCAUCGGCGGCCGCAAGCUCGCCGACCGGGACGACCAGACGAUCCUCACCAGCGUCCCUUCGCGGACGGCGGAGCUCCGGACGUUCCUCAGCAUCCUCAAGGCUUACAAGUGGUCGUUCAUCAACGUGAUUUAUGACAGCGACGAAGACGGUAAGUUCAUGAUGGAGACGUUCCGUGAAAUGGCCACCAACCAGGACGUGUGCAUCGGAGACUCCCUCGGGGUGCCACAGCGGGUUUCUGAAGAAUACGCGCGGGAAUUGAUCGAAACCUUGGCCGUUGCCUGGAAGCCUAGGAUAGUCGUUCUCCUGAUGGAUGCCUCGGAUAACAUCAGGACUAUCUUAAAGGUUGCGAACAAGCUUGACGAAAGUGAGAGGUUUACCUUCCUGGCAGGAGAUGCUUGGGGCAACAAGCCUAGUGUGACAAAGGGCCUGGACAGGGUGUCAGCUGGAGCUCUCACAUUCACGAUGGAGACAUAUGACCUCCCGGACUUCAGGAUCUUUGUGGCGAACCUAACACUAGAGAACCACGAGCCAUUCCCAGACGAGUGGUUUGAGGAAUAUUUCCAAAACAAAUUCCAGUGUAGGUUGUCUCCCAGUGAAAGAGUGCAGAGGCAAUACGUGAAGGAAUGUCUUGGCACGGAAUCCAUUCAUCCUGAUGACAUUGUUCAAGAUCCUUAUGUGUUCCACACCAUCCUCAGCAUCAACGCAAUUGCACAUGGUCUGGAUGCAUACAUAACGAAACACUGUGCAGAGGCUGAGUCUAUAGAUGACUGCAAUGUAGUACAAGCAGAAUUAUUAUUAGAAAUCCUGCACCAGAGCGAACUUUCUCUCAACAACACAGCUGAUUCGAACUCAUAUGAUCAAGAUGGGGCUUACGGAUACCACAUCUGGAACUAUAGGAAGCUUGGGAAGGAAUAUGGAUACAUUAACGUUGGCAAAUGGGAGAACAGCAACCUUCGUCUCGAAAAGCCAAGCAUAGAGUUCAAAAUAGGAACCUUUGCCCCAGACUCCUACUGCACUGAGGGUAUUUGCUUGGAAGUCUGCUCUUCUCAGUCGACCAAGUAUGCCGCCAUGGCCCUGCCAAAGCCUCUGCCCAUUGACUCCAACUUCCGCAAUGUGUAUGGCAUCAUGACUAGCGCGAUGAGCCUUCUGGGCAUCAUAGUAAUUUUGGUGACGAUGGUUUACUUCAUGAUGUCAUACCCAACGGCAGCAGGGACGUCGGUCCUCGGGUACAUGAUCCUAAUUGGCUGCCUCAUGCUCUACUCUGUCAACUUCGCCUUCAUCUUCCAGCCUACCGUUGGCACCUGUGCCGUGAGGAGGUUCAUGAUGGGCCUGGCCUAUGCCAUCAUCUUCUCCGCAAUGCUGGUCAAGGUCAUACACACCUGGAGAGUCAUGACUUACUCCUCCACUCGCGACGAGCCAGACGGCCUGAGCAGACCCUGUGGGCUGAUGCUUGUGGCCAUCGGGCUCUCCUUCGUGCAGGUCGUCCUCGGCUCCGCUUGGCUGAUCCUCUACCCACCUGGGACAGACCUCGACGGCGAGACCUGGAGAUGCACGCCCACCGAACGCUUCGAGGUCGACCUUGUCAUAUCCCUCGUGUACGUGAUGGUCCUCAUAGCAGCGACGAUCCUCUUCUGCUUCGAGACGUGGCACGCGGAGGAGAACUCGAAGGAGACGCGCUGGAUCCUGCUGGCGUCCCUCUUCACCACCAUCGCCUGGUGCGUGUGGACGGUCGUGGCCACGCAGGCGCCCAUCACCUUCCGCGACCCGGCCAUCGUCAUCGGCAACCUCAUCAGCGCCACCGUCGUCAUUCUCUUCCUCUACGCCCGCAAGAUGUACCUCUACAGCCAACUCACCAAGGACGUCAAGGACCUGGAGAUGAGGUCGCACUACACGGCCGCCACGUCCCUCUACAACGCCUCUCUGAACGCGCAGAAGAUGGGCGACCCUCUGCCGCGCACGCCCGGGGUGGAGAUCAACGCUGGCAUGCCCGGCCGACAGUUCGUGGUCGUGGGAAAAACAGUGAGGUUGCAUCAUCCGAAAGGGCCGGUGGUGGGGCGGGUCCUCGGGCCGCCGCGCCCACUCGUUCCACCACCACGCCCCAUAGGGCCGCCCCCGCGCCAUAUGGCGCCGCCGCUACGGCCUAUGCUGAUUCCUCCACGCCCUAUGGCCAAGGGAGUGUCCGCGAACUCACUCCUACCGCCCGGGGCACGGAGGUGACACCAGGUGCCACCAGCCAUCUGUCCUGGCAGCGACACGCCGUCCUCAGAGGCGACCAGGAGGUGAGCUUCCGGACGGUGACGCUUCCCCCAGAGACUCCUCAGAGCCGCCGAUCCUCCCGCCGGUCCACCACGCCCUCCAGGCAUUCCCUCAGGCUCUCCCUCUCCGACGAGCUGCCCGAAGACC
rnacentral:misc_RNA from 1 species